rnacentral:rRNA from 1 species
GACGAACCGAGCGAACGUUGUUCGGAAUCACUGGGCUUAAAGGGCGCGUAGGCGGGCUGUCAAGUCUGGGGUGAAAUCCCCCGGCUCAACCGGGGAACGGGCCUCGAUACGAGCGGCCUGGAGGGAGGUAGGGGGGGCUGGAACUUCCGGUGGAGCGGUGAAAUGCGUAGAUAUCAUUUGGAACGCCAACGGAGAAAUCAGGUAGCUGGGGGUGUGCUGACGCUGAGACACGAAAGCCAGGGGAGCGAACGGG